CCCGCCCUUUUUGGAGGCUGUUUUCCCUCCUGCCCUGCCCCUCCCACCAAGGUGCUGUGUCACUCCCUGUCGGUGGUCUGCUUCUCCUGCCUUUGCUACUCUUGGCCCUCCUGCUGUCACUGUGGAUGCUUUAGCCUCCAAAAGACUGUCCGCUGCCUCCUCUUUCUGAUGUUAAAAUAACAUUUCGAAUAUUUCAUUUUCUGUCUUUAUUAAGCAGUACUUUGCAGGUACUCCCCCUUGAAAACCCAGAAGUAUUUUCAGAAGUCUAAACCUCCAGGGAAUCCUCUUUCUAGGCUUACAUAGAAAUAAAUGUCUUUUUAAAAAAAGCCUGUGCCUACUUAAAGCACAAUGAAAAGGAGGUUCUCAGUGUGUGUGAGGUGCAUCUGGGAAGUGUGUGAAAAAGGCACAGAACCCCAGAUUGUUCAGGAAAAGGCAGGGCAGAGUCAAGUCCCUUGCAGAAAUGGCGAAAGGAACUGUAAGAAGUGAAUCGAAGGAGGAACUGAUUUUAGAAUAAAAAUGUCACUUAAAACAACAGGGGCACCUGGGCGGCUCAGUUGACUAAAUGCCAGACUCCCGGUCUAGGCUCAGGUCGUUGCCCACACUGGGCUCCAUGCCCGCUGGGGAGCCUACUUGAAAUGCAAAAGCGAAACAGCAAAUGCCUGUCAGACCUCUUGGCCCGUGUUACACGUGGAUGAAAAUCUGUGUGAGUAGAACGACUUCUGUGUAUGGAUUCUGCAAAUCACUUUUCCUAAAACAUAUGAAGUUCCCUGUUUCACAGAUGUGCAAUGUUUAAUGCUUAACUCUUCUGGAAAACCCCAGUGAUCUCUUCUGAGGAGGUCGAGAUACCAGGGAGCCAGUGCCAAGCUGUGCGGAGAAUAGACAGGGCAGCUGACGAUUAAAGCCUUUGUCAUUCAGUUUAUAACUUGACGCCUGGAAAAGCACAAGACCAAACUGGUCCGGCGGGCUGUUGGGGAGGGUGUGGGGGUGGGGGCCGCUGGCAGGGGAGGGGUGCAGUAGGGUAAGGUGAGGGCCCUGCCCACGUGGGGCCGGUGCAUGUCAGCACGUCUGCACCAGGUCUUGCUGGGCCCAGCAGCUCUCCGGAGGCCUGAGGGGACUUACUGGCUUGUCUCUUUCCAUGGUCAGUUGAAGUACUUACUAGGGGAACGGGUUAAUUCGGUCUGAACUAUAGAUGGGUUCAUUGCAUUGAAGUUCCAUAUCCGCAAACCAUUUGAUCAUAUCACGCCUCUGGUUCCCAGGCCUUCUGGCCUCCUAUGUAUUUAAGUACUUUGAACGCUCAGGACUAGCCAGGGCUAUUCGUGGAGGAGAACCCCCGCUGGAGUUUGUCAGUCACAUUGAUUUCUUGGGUCUAAGCCUGGGUCAGGAGCGAAGUCGUCAGAACGUGGUUAAUAGAAGGAAGAGGAUACAGGCCUUGAAAUACCUGUGGUCUUAGCCGUCAUUCUCCUAGUAACCAGGGAUGCUUGAGCUUAAUUUUGAACCUCAAAAUCAUUUUUUUGUACUUAGCUUGUAAGAGCUUUUCUAUAAUAAGAAACGCCUUGAUCGUGUGCCCGUAAAUGGUGCUAACACACGGUACCCUUUCCGGGGGCCACCGCAGCCCACGGGACCUGCGCUUGCUUCUCAGUAUCCCCACGUGGGCACAAAGCCAAAAUGAAUGUAUCCAGUGAGCUCCCCUCAUUUCCGUUGUUUUUAGAGAAUGUUUUGCUAUAGUUACCUGCAUCGUAGCAGCUUCUGUUGUGAAUUUGGAGAGGAUAACGGCCAACUGCUGCCUUUGGCAACGCGUCUUCCUUCCCCGGGGGGCCUGCGCUGGGAGGGUGGGGGCAUGGCAGGGAGCUCACCCCGGUGAGCCUGGCCCUGCUCCUCUGGGCCCGUUUAGCAAAGUCUGUUUACACUGUAAAAUGUCAGAUUUGUCGAGUACCUGUGCUCAGAGAAACGCGCUCCUGAGGCUCCUGUCCGUGUGGGCCGAGCUCCCCACUGUGGUUGUGGGGGUGCCUGCCUGGGGGCCGGGGUGGGGUUCCCUCUGUGACUUCAUGACUCAGGGCUUCACUGUGGAUCCCUUUUAGUAAACCCAGCCACCGAGGGAUGUACACAUAAAUAACGAAAAAUAAACGUAGAAAAUAAAAGAUCAGAAGCCUGGCUGUGUUGCUGUGUUGCUCUGUUGCCUUUGAGGACUCUGGGGGACUCGGGCCCAGUACUGUGACUUUCUGUCCCCAGCCCCGGACGGGCCUGUGCUGCCCCAGGACUUGACGGUGGCAGAUGCAUCAGUAAGUGCUGUGGGGCACCCCGGCGCUUCGUUCCUGCCGCGGGUGUGGGUGCAGUGCCAGUCCUCUCGGCUGCCGUUGGUGGGGUGAGGCGCGCGCACUGACCGAGCCCCCGGGCAAGGGCCCGGGGCCCUGCAGAGCCAGGCCGCAGCCGCAGUCCUGACCCAGCCUCGGGUGCCUGCCCGGGAGAGGCCUGCGGGGCCUGUGACAUUCUGGGUGUUCACCGACGGGCGUGCACCUAGGAGCGGCGGAGUGGGAAUGACGCUGUCCGCGCUGCGUGUGAGUUAGACUGCCCUGAAGGACGGGAAUGAUCGGAAGGUGGGGAGGACCGGGCUCCCAGAGGUAGUCCUUGGGGUCAGAGAAUGGAGUUUGAGUCAGCAGAGACCUGCCUUCCUGUGAGUCUGAGAACCGAGUCCGGGAGUCCGUUUGCGGGAUGGUGCCGCGCCGCUGAAGAACGCUUGUUGGGUGCGCGCCCGUCAGCAAGCAGCCCCGGGUGGCAAGUGGGAAGCCGGAGACCUUCCUGGGAUCACAGCGGCAGCAGACCGCGUUCCUCCUCCGCCACACCAUUCGGCGGGCUGAUCGACAAGACAUCUGCUCUAAAUACACUUUGCCUCCACUUGCCUGAAUCACGGUGUUCUCAGUUCUCAGGGCUGUGUUUCUGGCACUUCUCCAUGGCCUCCCACUGUCCUGCAAGCGUAGAGAAAAGCAGGGACGUAGGCUCUGGGCCCUAGGAGGCCUCAGAAGAUGUUCACCCCGUCAAAGGAGAAAAUCCCACCCGUGUCCUCUGUAGUUAGGAUGGGUGUGCAUUUCAACAGUCCAUUUUCACUUCUCUGUCUUGCUGGAGACCUUCUGGGCCUCUGAAUUAUUGGUCUCCCCUUCCCACUUCUCCGACCCCUGCCUCUUGUCUGGGCACAGAGUGGGUGGCCUGGUAAUCCCCUUCUGACUUUCUGGAUCUGGAGGGUUCAUUCUAGACUUCUGGCCCAGAAGAGGCAGAACAGAUUUUGGCUUUUGGGGUGGAAAAGCCCAGAGUGACCCAGGCUUCCCAGCUUCCCAGAGUGAGUGAGGAUUUUUUUGCCUUUCCCCCACCUGGCAGCCCAGCCCUCUGCUGUGGCAGGGUGGCUGAGAAGUUUCGAGUUACAAUGCAGCGUAUUUAUUGUAGCUUAGGACAGUGGCUUUCACACGGUUCCUGCUGUCUCCCCAGAUCAAGUAGUACUAGAACGUAGUUUAGGGCAGGUGAGAUGGGCUCAGGUUGUGACAUGCUGUGCUGUUCACUGGGGAGAUCUCAGCGAGAACACAGAACACAGAAGGCCAACCCCACAGUAAUUGUUGGCUUAUGUACCUGAAUAUCACAUACUGAUCGUGUCAGGCCAUGAGGAACAUGCUAUGCUAUUAAGGUUUUAAAAAUAUCUUUUAAAAGCAUACACUUAACGCCCCUGAAUAGGUCCAGUUUUCAUAAUCAUAACUAGUGCUAUAAAUAAGCAUUCUCAUUCAUGAACCUUUUUAGGCACUUCUAGAUUCAACACGUAUAAAGCUCGUGAAAUGUAUUUACAAACUACCCUCCAAAAAAGUUGUAAGAAUUUUCAGGCUCACCAGGAGGUGCUGGAGGGCCUGCUUUCUUGUUUCCCCAGUGAUACUAGGUAGGAUUUCAUUUUUAACUUUGACCAUUCAGCAAGGAAAAAAGUGGAAAGAGAGAGAGACAACUAGUUUUAAUUGGCUUUUGAUUCUGGUAAUGGUAAUGGUAUUUCCUAGAUAUUUAUCGGUCGUUUGGAUUUCUUUCCUGCUUUGCCUGUCCAUGUUCACCCACGACCAUAAUCGCCCUCGUUGAGGGUGCGCUUGAAGCAUCUUGGAGAAGUAUCCGCUGAAGAGGUGCCUUCGGUGGACAUGUCCACUGGGGACUCGGGCACCGAUUUCCUUAGGCCCCUGCCCACGCUGAGCUCUAUUGUAGUUUUUGAUCUUUGCUGAGUUGGUAGUUGGACAUCCGGUUUGUGUUCCUGUACCGAGUGAGACUGAACCUGCUUUUGUUUGUAGAAGCCAUCCAUGGGUCAUUUUCUGGGAGCUCAUGUCCUUUGCCCAUCUGCUAUACUUUCUAACUAAACUGUCAUCUGUGAGGGUACCUUUGGUUUUUGUCUCUGUGUUUCACAAAAAGAUUUAAGGGAGGAAACAUCAAGAAGGGAAGGCUAACGGGUGAUCACACGUCCAUGUUGAGCUCUUUUGAUCACAACUGACAGCUAGCUGGCUUAGGUCAUCUUAGUUCGUGGAGGGCUUGACGUUCAUCAACCAGAAGUGGGGUUGGAGGGGAGGCCCUCUCAGAAAGGGAACUGCUGUGCAAGUGUCCUGGGGUUAGUAUAUGCCAGGGAGGAAGGUGCAAAUGCCUUCUUUUUUUGCAAAGAGUGCCUGCCCAGUUCCAAACUCCAGAUGCAAGGAUGAGCUGAGGGCCCAGUCCUCCCUCCCUGUCCUUCCCCAGGCCCUCUCCCAACUGUCCCCAAUUUUCACACAGCUCAUGUGCAUCUGAAUGGCAGGACGGAAUCACAAAGCAGUUUUGUCUUCCACUGUUUAAGAGUAAUCAGUAGGAGAGCUGCCCCUGCCCCUGGAUGAAAACUCAGCUGUGGGCAUCCAUGACUCUCCCGGGCACCCCUGGAUAAUAAAGCUUACAGGAGCACCGGGGGGCGCAGGCGCAGUUGGUUUAGCAUCUGACUCUUGAUUUCAGCUCAGGUCGGGAUCUCGGGGUCCUGAGAUCAAUCCCCGUGUCCGGCUCCGUGCCCAGUGCAGUCUGCUUGAGAUUCUCUCCCUCUCCCUCUGCUCUCCACCCCCCACCCCCGACUCCAGCUUGCUCUUGUGUUGUCUUUCUCUAAAAUCUCAAAAAGCUUAUGGUCAUUUUACAUUGCCCAAUGUGAUUCCUGUUCAGAAGUUGGGAUACCCCAUCUCGUCUAAGAGUCAAAGCCACAAGUAGUCACUGAAUGCCCCAACCGGCCCUCCAGCGUUGGAGCAGGAGCAGACCCCUCUGCCCCUCCUCCGGCUUCCAGCUCAGCCUUGCGUGAGAACUUCCCUUGAUGUGGCUAAUCCUCUCUCCUACCCACAGCUCGUCCUCCGCAGCUCCUAGGAAUCCAGCCAUCCCUCCAGCUUCCUUCUUCUAAGCCCUGUUCCCUAGGCUUAAGGUGUCGAGCUCCCCUCUGCCCCCGCCCCACCCCAACUCACAUAUGUGCACAUAUCCCCAAGGAGGAGAAGGGCUCAGUAUAACUCUGCAAAGAAACCAUCUCUACAAAUGAUCUUUUCAAGUAUGUACUCUUUGUUCUUUCAUGCCCGCAGUGGGUGUGGAUGAAAGAGGGAACGGUGUGGAAUGGGCCUGGCGCGAAGACAUCUGGACAGGAGGCUGGGCUCCUGCAGGAGUCCCCCUCCCCCCCUCCCCUUGUGAUGCUGCUUCUCACUGGGUGUUAGCAUCCUCCUUUCUGGUUGGGCCCUGUUUACGACAUGGAGCCCAAGCUCAGUCUAGUGUCUAUCAUGUGAAGUGUGAGGUCCUCGUUACAGCAACCCAAUGCCUAGAGUGAGAGGAAUGCCUGGCCAGCUUGGAAAAGCAAGGAGGUUAGUGGAGGGGAGGUGGUCAGCCUGCUGGGAAUGGUUGGGUAGGUUGCGUACUGCAAAACUCCAGGAGGUCUCAUUCGGUUCAUAGCCCAGGGAGAUACAUGGGCCUGAAAGCUCCACGGUGACCAGGAGCAUCUGAGCUAAGGCAGAAGGACUAAGGAUGCAGAGGAGGGACAGAAGCGACAGCUACUAGGAGAGAGAACUUGUGACUUGAUUGAGGGAGGGGUGGGGCAUGGAGGAGGCUUCUGGGUGGGUGAUAAUGACUCAUCUAGACGGAAAUCCAGAGGAGGUAGGGACAGGGUGGUGGGAAAGUGUGCAGAGAGGCCCUGAAGGGCCUAGGCCCCUCUGGGACCCCUGGGAGAGGUUAGCAGGUUACUGGUCUGAAGUGCAGGAACAAGUCCGGACUGGAAAAACUGCCCUGGGGAUCACCAGUGCAUAUUGGGAACUAGAGACAGGCCGGACUGGGUCACCCGGCAGAACACAGACCUGGAUUCCCAACUUAGGUGACAGCAGGCCUGGGGUGUGGAGGCCAUUUAUCUUCUUUUCCAAAGAAAGCAGAAUCCUGCAGCUGUGGCCACCACAGCUGUAGGGGGAGGAAGGCUGAGAGCGGAGCAGGGCAGCAUCUGGCAGAAAGGCAGAGCGGCUGGGGUGGGACGUGGCCCUGCCUGACCCGUGAAGAAACCACAUCUGGGUUUUUGCUUCACGAACUUGCGAACACGUGUCCUCACCGUGUCCGGGGGCUGGGGGAGAUGGACUGCUGCGGCCGCCCCUCACGGCACCCGAGCUUUGUACAGAAAUCAGAUGAAGAGAUGGCGGGUGGUGUACAGUGGGGUAUGAAUCGUGUUUGUUCAUUUCUGUCUUGGCCUUUGGACUCAAGGGUAUCUGAGGUCUCUGAACCGAAGACGAGAUCAGCCGUCCCUGCACGGUGGCAGUUCUUUGCCAAAAGCAGGCCGGCACGAGCGCAUACAGAGUCACUGGCUGAGGCCCGGCACACGCACCCCUCCUCGGCCUGCACCUCUGGCCAUCGGGCUCUGCAAAUCCUACCGCCACGCUAGCUCAGAAUGGACAAGGUCUCGUUCUGGAGCAGAGAAGGCCGACCUGGAGGCAUCUGGCAACUUGCCUGACUCCAAGCUAGUCAGUAGCCGAGAUGCAAUGAGGAUUCACAGCUCGUGUGUGUGUGAGUGUGUGUGUGUGUGUGUGUGCGCGCGCUUUUUGUGCAAAGACCUGUGUACUGAGCUGUGAAAUUAGCACAGUAUUUAUUGGCUUGCGUAGUCCAGAUAAGAGGCCUGGAGCUCAUGGGGUGACUUAAGCAAAGCCAAACUUCCCCCCCACUCAAGUGUUGCCUUUAUGAGUUGAAAAGUUUAAUUUGGAAGAGGGCAUAGUUUUCUCCAUGAUAUUAAUGUAAAAGCCCAGUAGAUCAUAUCUGUGAAUAUAUCUGAACUGCCCCAUCACAAGGGUAAACCUUUUGGACUAUUGCUACUGUUGUAUAACAUGUGGGUGUGGGCCUUUUGGGAUAAUUUACAGAUAGGCAAAGAGAUGAGAGGCAGGUGUUUCAAAACCAUGAACCAUCUUAUGGUUUAUUUUAACAGCCUCUGGAUUAAAAGCUCUCAGCCAUCAUAAAUGAAGAAGACAAGUAUGAACAGUAAAAGUCCUCUGCAAUGUGUGACGUAGAGUGAAGGCUGGUCUGAACUACCCCUUGGUAGCCGGUUCAUCCAAACCACGGGUUCCCUGUGCUCAGAGAACCAGAGUCGGCCUGGCCGUGAUGUUUCCCAACGCCAAAGGCAGCCCUUUCUCGCCCCCUGUGCACGGCUGGAGAACAUCUGCCUCUAAAUCCUCCGGGGCCAACCAGUCUCCCUGCGCCGAGGGAUUUCCACGAAGCCAGACGGGCUGGUCUGUCCCCAGUGUCCUUUAACCUAAGGACACCACUUCUACUUCGGGCUCUUGUGCGAUUCUGCGGACACACAGGGCCUGUGGUGAGACUUGUUAGCGGAGGGGACUGAAGUUUUGUAACCCAGCUUCGAGGUCCCCCGUGAACACAUCCCCCACGCUGUCUGUGCAGGUGCCUGACCUGACGCAGGCUUUGAGGGACCCUGGCUGAUCGUACAUGAAGCAGAGGGAAAAACAUUUGGGCAUCACCGGGACUUGGCAAGAAUGACUUAAAAAUGAUGCGGUGACCGAGCGGCCCGCCUCCCUGUGGUCUGCUUCGCCCAGCUGCUGACAGCUCCAGCCUCCCCUCGUGGGAGGAAAGUCAACUCAGAAUGUCCCCUCUCCACUGUUUCCCCCUUCCGAGAUCAGACAGUAAGACACACACACCCCUUUUCUGACCUCUGAGUGGAGUUGGGGUUAUUUGGAUUACAUAAUAAGAUCUCACUUUGAACAUUAGUCCAGUAAAUUUGAGACCUUAAAAGGUCUUUUCAAGGGCAGGCGACAGGGCCUUUUGGUACAUUUGUCUCUGGAUUUCUUCUACGUCCUGUUUUAUGUGUGGUUUGAUCAGCUGAUGGAUCAUGUGAUGUUUUGCUCCUUCAAAUGACAGAAAUAGAGACUCAGAAUAACCACACGGAGAAGCCUCUCAAAUGUUUACCAAACACGUUGCUCAAAAACAUGCUUUUCUACGGUUCACAUGCUUUUUAGAAAGAGCCGCGGGAGGGUGGCCGCGGGGAGCCACGGGUAUCACAGAACUGGCCGCACGUGGACCGCAGAGGUCUCCAGGCUACAAGGGGCCGUGUCUGCCGAAGCCCCUCCCGCCGACAAGAGGGGCCAGACUUCGAACACAAAAAGCCCCCUUUGCUGGGCUGUGCCUCGCUUUGUUUGGAAACUUCAUUCCUAUUUUUAGGGGUCAGCUCACCUGCAAAAUAAGAGGCCAGAAGUCACAGCUCCUUAGAACACAACAGCCCAUGCUGUCCUGGGCAUGGUUGUGCUUAGAGAUUCAUGGAAGUAGAAAGAUUUUUAAAUACAAGAACAUAUUUUUCAAGGUCAUGUCAUUGAAUAACAAGACUGUGAAUACUUUUUCUCUCGCAACACAGCCUCUUGGGCUCUCCCACUUCAGUCUGCAUUAAGGAAAGAGACUGGUCAAGAGAACUACUAAGUCUUCAAACCGUUUUGUUUCUAGACACUAAGAGUAUAAAAAAAAAAAAAGUUACUCUCUUCUUCCCCCCUUUCCUCCCAUAAGAAAAAAGCCCAAAUGGGGAGCAAUUAUGGUAGGGAGCUGUUGAGUUUUUUUCACUUGUUACUUGAAGCUAUCUUUGAAGAACUUUGGUCACACUUGGGAAAUGUAAUGACUAUCCCAACCCGAGAGAGGUCCAGAAAAGGCUGCCCGUGAGGACUGUAGAGCUGGACCCUGGCUGGGAAGUGCCUUGGGGUUUAGAGAACUUUCAACUGGAUGGAGCUUGACUCUGGUGGAGCCCCUCCCUGGCUUGCCUCCUCGUGGGCCCUGCCCUCUGCACCUCCCGAAGUUAUUUAUUGGUAGGACGCAAAGAAUGAAAAAGUGUAUUUGCUACCAUACCAAAGCUUUCCUCCGCCCCACCUGAUAUAUCCUAAACACUGAAAGCUAUUCUUUCUGAGGGUAUCAGCCCUUCAUGGACAUCUCCAAAGCCAAGCCACAUGCUCAGGCCGAGCCCAUGAAACAAACGCAGAACAAGAAGACCUUUGGGAGAAGGCGGACCCAACACAGGCAGCAAGGGGCCAUGCCUGGCUUCCACCCCGUUUUGUAAACCAAUGGCCCCCCAUGCCCAGAUGAAAGAAUCCAGUCAGGCGAGAGGUUCUGGCCAGUAGGCAAACCUCUCAACAGGCCCCUGAGCCUCAGGCCAACAGGUGCAGCCCUAUCAUGACUUCCCUGCAGCGAGUCUCGCCUGGUUCUUCCCGCUCACUUCUCGGGCAUCUGAUGCCCUGUGCUGGCAAGCUCUGAGUGGAAGAGAGCACACGACGCCUUCAUGCGUAGAAUGACCUGGCUUAGACCCUCAAUAAAAGCAAGGAGGCCUCUGUCCUGGGAAAACCUUCGGUAUAGAAAGACUGCUUUGAACUGCCCCAAUUCACUUCUCAGCAUUUGAAAACAGCUUUGUGCCCCAGUCGUUUCAGGUUAUAUUUGUCUACAAGGAUCACCCAACAUGGAGAAAGUCACGCUUGGUCUUUUCACAGUCCUUGACCUGUGACUUUCCCAGGCACCACGCCCUUCUAAUGAUACCUGUCCGCUAAGCGACUGGCAAGAAAAAAGAAACCUGUGUUGGGGAAAUUUUGUUUUUUUUUUGGCCAGCAAAGUCAAAGGUGUGGCCCUCCUUACUCUGAAAAGUGGGAUGGAGCAGUGUCGUGUCCCCCCUCCCCCUUCCGACCGCCUUUCCCAUCUGAGGGUGCCAACACCGUGUCCUGCUUUAGAAGCUAAGGUGUGCUAAGGUGUGCGUGGUAGGCCAUGAAUGAAGUUAGCCCACGUGGAGGAACUGUGUGAGGGACGGCGUGCUUCAAGGUGGAAGGUAUUGGACACGUCCCGCACGAUGUCUGUCGUCAUGGUCUGGGUGUGGGGUAGCUUCCCCUGUUCUCUGAGACAGUGGCCACAUAUUUAUGGCCCGUCAUCACCGACGGUGUCUCUGAGGUUUAGUGACACCUUCUAGUUGUGUAAUGAAGGCUCUCUAGCUGAGCUUUCCCUGACUUGGGAAGAGAUGGCUUUUUCAGUUUGAUCUUCACGCUCUACCCCCACAAGCAUGAGAUAGUCACACAUGUUAAAAAAUACUGCUGUUUAAUUUUCUAGUCAUGUACUUUUAAAAAGCUGAUACAAUUAGACGUUUUUUUCCCCAUCUUCUCAGAUCUGCCCCUGAAACCAGCCGAGAGCUACCCAUCUUGAUUCCCAGCACUCAUCUAUAUGGAGGAAAAGUCUCUCAGAGGAAGCACAUGAAAAUCUGUCCCCAUGGUGGACACACCCAAGGUCACUUGAUGUCCGGAAAUGUGAAUGCAGCCCUGUGAUGUUCAUGGCUGACUUUAUGCCCUUACAUUCUUUUUUUUUUUUUAAACGAGGAACAAUAUGAUUACACAGCACUGAAAACAAUAAACACGAAAGGCUUGCCUGUUU